rnacentral:SRP_RNA from 1 species
GGGCAAGGCUUAUACGACCAGCUCCUAUUGAACUCCCCCAGGGUCGGAAGGCAGCAAGGGUAGAUGGUUGUAGCGGUGCGAUGUAAGUAUCUUGCCCACU